rnacentral:rRNA from 1 species
CGAUGUCAAUGAUGUCAUACUUCCAAGAAAAGCCCGUACACUAUUAACACAAUAAUGACCUGUACCAUAAACCGACACAGGUAGGUAGGUAGAGAAUACUAAGGAGCGCGAGAGAACUCUCUCUAAGGAACUCGGCAAACUAGCCCCGUAACUUCGGAAGAAGGGGCGCCUGAGAAUAUCAGGCCGCAGUAUCAAGGUUCAGGUGACUGUUUACCAAAAACACAGGUCUCCGCAAAGUCGUAAGACAAUAUAUGGGGGCUGACGCCUGCCCAGUGCCGGAAGGUGAAGGAAGUUGGUUAUUUUGGUCUCCAAGAGAAGCUGACGACCGAAGCCCCGGUGAACGGCGGCUGUAACAAUGACAGUCCUAAGGUAGCGAAAUUCAUUGUCGAGUAAGUUUCGACCUGCACGAAAGGCGUAACAAUCUGAACGCUGUCUCAGAGAGAGGCUCGGUGAAAUAGACUUGUCCGUGAAGAUGCGGACUACUAACAUUUGGACAGAAAGACCCUAUGAAGCUUGACUGUAUUCUGGAAUGGAGUUCGGGCUUUUCUUGCGCAGUCUAGGUGGGAGGCGUUGAAGACUUCCUUCCGGGGAAGUUGGAGCCAUCAGUGAGAGACCACUCUGGGAAGGCUAGAAUUCUAAUGGUGAUCCUUGAAUCAGGACACUUGACAGUUUCAGAUGGGCAGUUUUUCUGGGGCGGAAACCUCCUAAAAGGUAACGGAGGUGCGCAAUGGUUCCCUCAGUCUGGACGGAAAUCAGACAUUGAGUGUAAAGGCAAAAGGGAGCUUGACUGUGAGACCUACAAGUCAAACAGGGGCGAAAGCCGGCCUUAGUGAUCCGACGGUGCUGUGUGGAAAGGCCGUCGCUCAACGGAUAAAAGUUACUCUAGGAUAACAGGCUAAUCUUCUCCAAGAGUUCACAUCGACGAGAAGGUUUGGCACCUCGAUGUCGGCUCAUCACAUCCUGGGGCUGUAGUAGGUCCCAAGGGUUGGGCUGUUCGCCCAUUAAAGUGGUACGUGAGCUGGGUUCAGAACGUCGUGAGACAGUUCGGUCCAUAUCCGAUGUUAGCGUUAGAAUAUUGAGGUCAGUCACUCAUAGUACGAGAGGACCUGUAGUGAUCGUGCCUAUGGUCUAUCAGUUCUUUUUCCAAAAGGAAACGCUGAGUAGCUACGCACGGAGUGCAUAACCGCUGAAAGCAUCUAAGUGGGAAGGCCAGACCAAGAUGAGUAUUCUCCAUUAAGCCGCAGCAAGACAAGCUGUAGAUAGGUAUCAGGUGUAAGGUCAGUAAUGAUUUGAGCCGAGAUAUACUAAAGGCAG